rnacentral:rRNA from 1 species
CAUGUGGUUUAAUUCGAAGCAACGCGAAGAACCUUAACCAGGCCUUGACAUGCAGAGAACUUUCCAGAGAUGAUUGGUGCCUUCGGGAACUCUGACACAGGUGCUGCAUGGCUGUCGUCAGCUCGUGCGUGAGAUGUUGGGUUAAGUCCCGUAACGAGCGCAACCCUUGUCCUUAGUUACCAGCACGUUAUGGUGGGCACUCUAAGGAGACUGCCGGUGACAAACCGGAGGAAGGUGGGGAUGACGUCAAGUCAUCAUGGCCCUUACGGCCUGGGCUACACACGUGCUACAAUGGUCGGUACAAAGGGUUGCCAAGCCGCGAGGUGGAGCUAAUCCCAUAAAACCGAUCGUAGUCCGGAUCGCAGUCUGCAACUCGACUGCGUGAAGUCGGAAUCGCUAGUAAUCGUGAAUCAGAAUGUCACGGUGAAUACGUUCCCGGGCCUU